GUGCGAGAAAAGAAGACGCAUCGGGAGAUCCCUGCAGUUAACACCUGCGGAGGGGAAAUUGUUCAGAAGGUCUUGCUCAGUCAGUCACGAUCGGAGCUCCUUAACAAUACUUGAACAGAGAAACAUGGAUCUAAAACGUCUAACGGCACACCUCUCAUCUGGAUAAUGUCUCCUGAGAACCAGCUAAGAGACUAUAAGGACUAUUAGUGGACUAGGAGUGGUCUAAACUAAGAAGUCUAGGUGGCCAGAAAGUAAAACUGGAGAUCUUUGGACAUGGAAAGCCAUUAGAAGUCUGUGUAUGCAUAUAUGCUUUAUCUACAGGAACUUUUCAUCGAACUAAUACUUCGUUUCAUUAAAUGUCUCUAAUUAACUGUGCGUUUCGAGGACACCGAAUGUACACACUGGCAUCAUUCAAGUUUAUCUGAGUGCAACCGAUUAUCCGAGAUGGAAGAAGUGAAACUUGACAACCGAUGGUGGGAGCAAUUAGCAAUAUUGUGCAGUCACGUAGGCAAACUCGUAUCCGCGAAUGCUGUCAGACAGGUUGAAGAUACCGCGCAAUGGUUCACUCGAAUGCUGCCUGAUUAGCGAGUCAAACUCUGGAUAUUACACGCUCUUCAGUGCACUCUGUCCUAAUAUGUCAAUACAUUCAUUUUAUCUGCACACAGUAAUAUAAAAUCUUGUUGCGAAUGGUCUACAUUUAUAUUUAUUUGCUGUGUUUCAUACAAGCUGUUCCCUUCACAUUUAUUUUUGAAAUA